CGCCUUGCCAGCCCGCUCAGAAACUCAAAGGAAUUGACGGGGGCCCGCACAAGCGGUGGAGUAUGUGGUUUAAUUCGAUGCAACGCGAAGAACCUUACCUGGUCUUGACAUCCCGGAGACCCUUAGGAAACUAGGGGGUGCUUCCAUCUGGAAGAAUCUGGAGACAGGUGCUGCAUGGCUGUCGUCAGCUCGUGUCGUGAGAUGUUGGGUUAAGUCCCGCAACGAGCGCAACCCUCGUCCUUAGUUGCCAGCAUUCAGUUGGGCACUCUAAGGAGACUGCCGGUGUUAAACCGGAGGAAGGCGGGGAUGACGUCAAGUCCUCAUGGCCCUUAUGUCCAGGGCUACACACGUGCUACAAUGGCCGGUACAAAGGGUAGCAAGACCGCGAGGUGGAGCCAAUCCCAAAAAGCCGGUCUCAGUUCGGAUUGGAGUCUGCAACUCGACUCCAUGAAGUUGGAAUCGCUAGUAAUCGUGGAUCAGCAUGCCACGGUGAAUACGUUCCCGGGCCUU
rnacentral:rRNA from 1 species